rnacentral:sRNA from 1 species
UGUGGCCGGGAUCGCCUCCUACCAGCGCGUUGCGCCCGUAGGAGCGCUUGGC